GCCGGUGGCUAUUGAGAGUUGGAAACGCCCUGUCCCAUACCGAACCAGGAAGCUAAGCAACUCAUCGCCGAUGAUACUGCUCUUUACUAGAGUGGGAAUGUAGGUCGCUGCCGGCU
rnacentral:rRNA from 1 species